CGUCUCAGUUCGGAUUGCAGGCUGCAACCCGCCUGCAUGAAGCCGGAAUCGCUAGUAAUCGCGGAUCAGAAUGCCGCGGUGAAUACGUUCCCGGGUCUUGUACACACCGCCCGUCACACCAUGGGAGUCGAUAACGCCCGAAGUCAGUGACCUAACCGAGAGGGAGGAGCUGCCGAAGGCGGGAUGGAUAACUGGGGUGAAGUCGUAACAAGGUAAC
rnacentral:rRNA from 1 species